GCAGAGUACAGCGGCUACGGCUGUAACUGUUUAUCAACCGGUCAUGGAAAACCAGUCGAUGAUGUGGACAGGUGCUGUCAAGCUCACACCAAAUGCUACGAGCAAGUCUACAAAAUGAGUUGCUCACCGCAUUGGGACCCGUAUUACUUCUCCAUCAGAGGAAAAGCCAUACGCUGCACCCGUGGCGGACCGCCGUGCGACGUCCACACGUGCCGCUGCGACAAGGCUGCCGUGGAGUGCUUCGCUCGCAGCCACUUCAACCGACGCUACCGCAACUUCAACCGAAAGAGAUAUUGCAAAAAAGAAGACGACUAGGCACACCGGUCACAUUUAAUGAAACCGCAUUCACAUACGAACAGUGACGUUCCCAUGUAAUGAGUUUACCCGAGAAGAACAUUAUAAUAAAAAAACAUACUUCUGCAAAUAAUGUAUACAUUGUAACAACAAAUAAUUUGGACAAUUAAUUUGACUUCUGAAUCAAGAUUCAGUAACUAGUGGGUAAUAACCAACAAAAAAUGGGAUGUUUAAAACUAUCUUGAUCAUAUGUGACUGCAAAGGUGUGAUUCUCUUAGUGAUAUACUCUAGUAAUCCAGUUGUCAAAUUGUGUGGUGAUACGGCAUUUGGCAGUGCAAAAAAGCACAAUUAGCAGGAAAACAAAACGCCUUCGUCAAUAACACUACCUUUAAAAAAGUUUAGGCAAUGUCUUUGGGCAAUGGCCAUUCUUCAGAGAACACGUGCCAUUUCCCAAACCAUUGUCUAUCAGAGUACAUUACUGUACACACUUUAUUAAGGCAGUUUUAUUGUCAACCGUGUUCAGUUACCUUUUCGUGAUGGUAAAACAUACUUGCUGAUUUCUCUUUCUUUCAUGGUUCAAUUUCAAAUUUACAGCAUUGUACUUUGGGAAAUGAUGUUAUUGACGGUGUGGGGUUAAUGGUUGUGCUGUGAA